GUAGCUUCCUUCUCAAUCUCACAUUAAGUUGACAAAUCGAAAACAUAAACUUGCAAACCAACUCGAUUUCUAAAUGGUACAUGUUGUGGUAGUACCUAAUGGGCCAGGCUCAUUAGGACCAGUGGCAAUUUUGAAAUAUAACACAAAUACAGCACCAUUUUUGUCACAAAAAAUCAUCGUUUUUCUACCCCAAACCACCGGCAUCACUCAGUGUCUCCGUCGUCUUCUGAUUUUCCUCCGAAUCGGAGAAGAAAGGCAACCAAAUCAUGGUCCUCCAAAUUCUUGGUUUUCUGAUUCUUCUGGGCGCUCCUUACGCGUACUGCAGCCUGAGCGCGCGGCGCUCUCGAUUGAUUCCGUGGUCUGAUCUCCCGUGAAUCGCAAUCCGACGGUGGCGAUGACAUCGCCGCAGAACCAAUCGGCGAAUGUGGAUCUCUUCGAUGCGUAUUUCCGAUGGGCCGAUUAGUGGCAAUGAAGUCGUCGCUUUCUUCCAGGGCUCUAGUCACCCAAACAGGUCCUUGCUCAGUCUAGAUUGAUAGAAUGACUACCCAUCAUGCCGCAUUAUCUUUGAUGGAGCGGUUUAGGGAGGGACGCCCUCUUCCAGCAGUGCUACCAAGCAAUGUUUUGUUUGAUCAAUCCAAUAUUUUUGAACCUGCAAAUAAUUACUCCAAUGCUAGCAAUGUAGCCUGGAGACCUGCUUCUGGCUUUCAACAACAGCAACUGAUGCCUGGUCUUGGUGCUCGGCACAUGGCACCCCCAGUUGGAGGAAGGCCACCGAAGACAGUUGCUCCUUCUCAUGCUGAGGAAAAGCAGCAGGCCAAUUAGCGGAAACCCAGAGUACCCGAAUUGGAGAAACAUCUUGUAGAUCAACUGAGUACAGAGGAGGUUAACUCACUGAACUCAAAGUUCAAAGAAUCAACCGAAGCUGAUAAAAAGGUACUUAGAACUUUAAUGUUUCCCCAAUUUUCUCAUCUUGAGCAACAAAGUUAUGUGUGCAUGUUACUUCCUGUUAAGUGUCAAAUCAUAACAAAUAUCCCAGAGACUUGGGGAAAGAAAUCUUGGAUGCUAGAGAGAAAAUUGAAUAUUUCAGGGUCAAAAUGCAGUUCAGCAAUCGAACCUGUAAUGUAUCUUCAUUCUUUUCUUCCUUUAGCUUGUAGCGCGACGUAUAAUUUGUCUCCUUAAUUUUGGAAAGUUCCUAGUCCUAUUGAAGCAAAGAGCCCUAUAGUUUUAUCGUUGUUACAAAUUUGAUGAUUGUAUAAUUAAACUGGGGCUGUGCCUUUCUUUUUUCAGCCUUAAUACUCUGUAAUUUUUUACCCUCUCUAAUAAAAUUUGUUUCGCUGAUC